UACGUAGGGUCCGAGCGUUGUCCGGAAUUAUUGGGCGUAAAGAGCUCGUAGGCGGUUUGUCGCGUCUGCUGUGAAAUCCUGAGGCUCAACCUCGGGUCUGCAGUGGGUACGGGCAGACUGGAGUGCGGUAGGGGAGAAUGGAAUUCCUGGUGUAGCGGUGGAAUGCGCAGAUAUCAGGAGGAACACCGAUGGCGAAGGCAGUUCUCUGGGCCGUAACUGACGCUGAGGAGCGAAAGCGUGGGGAGCGAACAGG
rnacentral:rRNA from 1 species